CUACAGAUGAACUUCCUUUUUUAUCUGGGCACUUGGAAAGAUAUCACCUAACCGUCUUGUCCAUAUAUCUGAAAUGGAGAUAUUCCUCUUCUGCUGGAGAGAGGACUGGUGAACAUCUUUUAUAAAUCUAUGAUAGAAGACUCUAAACUGGUCAAGCUUGAUCCUUGUUGACUCCUUUCCUACCAAAGAAUCCAUGUAGACCUUCGGGCAUAGUGAUGCUGCAGAUGAACCAGGAAAGCCAGAUCCAAGAAGACCCUUCAAUGCAAGCUUGGGGAGACAGAGUCAUGAGUUUCCUUCACAGACAUUGCCAGUGGUGGGAUUCAGCAGGUUCGCACCACUUCGGCAGAAUCGGUUGUUAAAAUGGUGCUUGUAAACAACCAGUUGUUAAAUUAUUUUAAUCCCACCACUGGAACCGGUUGUUAAAUUAUUUGAAUCCCACCACUGGAAAUUGCUCUAGAAAUGUGAAUAGUGGAGGAGUAAGAACAAUGGAAAACAAGAAGAUAGGUCAAGACCCAAUUACUCGCCCAACAACAAGGGAAGGUGAAUAAUCUUAUUAUUAUUAGAGUGAAAUCUAU